UACACAUGCAAGUCGAGCGGAAACGACGGGAGCUUGCUCCCGGGCGUCGAGCGGCGGACGGGUGAGUAAGGCAUAGGAAUCUGCCCGGUAGUGGGGGAUAACCUGGGGAAACUCAGGCUAAUACCGCAUACGUCCUACGGGAGAAAGCAGGGGACCUUCGGGCCUUGCGCUAUCGGAUGAGCCUAUGUCGGAUUAGCUGGUUGGUGAGGUAAUGGCUCACCAAGGCGACGAUCCGUAGCUGGUCUGAGAGGAUGAUCAGCCACAUCGGGACUGAGACACGGCCCGAACUCCUACGGGAGGCAGCAGUGGGGAAUAUUGGACAAUGGGCGCAAGCCUGAUCCAGCCAUGCCGCGUGUGUGAAGAAGGCCUUCGGGUUGUAAAGCACUUUCAGUGGGGAAGAAGGCCUUUCGGUUAAUAGCCGGGAGGAGCGACAUCACCCACAGAAGAAGCACCGGCUAACUCCGUGCCAGCAGCCGCGGUAAUACGGAGGGUGCGAGCGUUAAUCGGAAUUACUGGGCGUAAAGCGCGCGUAGGCGGCGUGAUAAGCCGGUUGUGAAAGCCCCGGGCUCAACCUGGGAAUGGCAUCCGGAACUGUCAGGCUAGAGUGCAGGAGAGGAAGGUAGAAUUCCCGGUGUAGCGGUGAAAUGCGUAGAGAUCGGGAGGAAUACCAGUGGCGAAGGCGGCCUUCUGGACUGACACUGACGCUGAGGUGCGAAAGCGUGGGUAGCAAACAGGAUUAGAUACCCUGGUAGUCCACGCCGUAAACGAUGUCGACUAGCCGUUGGGGUCCUCGAGACCUUUGUGGCGCAGUUAACGCGAUAAGUCGACCGCCUGGGGAGUACGGCCGCAAGGUUAAAACUCAAAUGAAUUGACGGGGCCCGCACAAGCGGUGGAGCAUGUGGUUUAAUUCGAUGCAACGCGAGAACCUUACCU
rnacentral:rRNA from 2 species